GGUGUCUAAAGUAAGUAUUUAAAUGGUGGUUAUUUAAUUAGUUUCAUUGUCUAACCUGGCCAAUUUUGAUUGGUGUCUAAAGAAAGCAAUGGGUGGACCCCCACUCAUCUUAACUUACCUAGCCAUCUUGGGAGAUUCAAUUUCAUGCUAUGUUACUUGUUGACUCGAGUUCACCUAUACCGACUAGGCUAGUUAGACAUGUUAAUGUACUGACCUAAUUUGAUCAAUCAGAUAUCAAAUCUACUAAUUUAGAAGAGAUCUAAACUUAAAUCUCUUCACUAAAUAUUAAGUCUAGAGGUCUUCCAUCAUUGUAGAGAUGCGGGUGCCUUCCUGGCAUUGAUCAUUCUUGAUUGAUCACAGUGAUUCGGUUGCAUCGAGAAGGUACAACUAUUCUAUUGACAUUUGAUAUUCUGGGGUAGAGAUGAGGUUGGGCCCAAUAACUGUUAGGUAAGGAUCUCAAUGAUGGCUUCACACCCACUAGUGAACGAUGGGUCUGACUUAACUAAAAA
rnacentral:lncRNA from 1 species